CUACGGGGUGCUGCAGUGGGGAAUAUUGCACAAUGGGCGCAAGUCUGAUGCAGCCAUGCCGCGUGUAUGAAGAAGGCCUUCGGGUUGUAAAGUACUUUCAGCGGGGAGGAAGGGAGUAAAGUUAAUACCUUUGCUCAUUGACGUUACCCGCAGAAGAAGCACCGGCUAACUCCGUGCCAGCAGCCGCGGUAAUACGGAGGGUGCAAGCGUUAAUCGGAAUUACUGGGCGUAAAGCGCACGCAGGCGGUUUGUUAAGUCAGAUGUGAAAUCCCCGGGCUCAACCUGGGAACUGCAUCUGAUACUGGCAAGCUUGAGUCUCGUAGAGGGGGGUAGAAUUCCAGGUGUAGCGGUGAAAUGCGUAGAGAUCUGGAGGAAUACCGGUGGCGAAGGCGGCCCCCUGGACGAAGACUGACGCUCAGGUGCGAAAGCGUGGGGAGUAAACAGGAUUAGAUACCCCCGUAGUC
rnacentral:rRNA from 1 species